rnacentral:rRNA from 1 species
GACGAACGCUGGCGGCGUGCUUAACACAUGCAAGUCGAACGGUGAAGGGAUCAGCUUGCUGGUUCUGGAUGAGUGGCGAACGGGUGAGUAACACGUGAGUAACCUGCCCCCUUCUUCUGGAUAACCGCAUGAAAGUGUGGCUAAUACGGGAUAUUCUGCGCCUGCUGCAUGGUGGGUGUGGGAAAGAUAUUGUUUCGGUGGGGGAUGGGCUCGCGGCCUAUCAGCUUGUUGGUGGGGUGUUGGCCUACCAAGGCGGUGACGGGUAGCCGGCCUGAGAGGGUGGACGGUCACACUGGGACUGAGACACGGCCCAGACUCCUACGGGAGGCAGCAGUGGGGAAUAUUGCACAAUGGGCGCAAGCCUGAUGCAGCGACGCCGCGUGAGGGAUGGAGGCCUUCGGGUUGUGAAUCUCUUUCGCCAGUGAAGCAGGCCUGUCCCGUGUGGGUGGGUUGACGGUAGCUGGAUAAGAAGCGCCGGCUAACUACGUG